rnacentral:lncRNA from 1 species
CCUGGUGGUGCACGUCCCCAACCUUAUGUGGAUUUCCUAAAUUCUGCAAAAAAGGUUUGGAAGCUGAUCAAUCAAUACUGGAACUCCCUCUUCUCCAGAAGAGACAUCCUGGCCUCCAUGCAGAGGAAUGUGUGGAUGGACAUAUAUUUAAGGAAGACACUAAACCAGAAACUACUACAUUACACCCUCUUAGAAGACUUCUAAGAUUGUUGUCAUGCCUACCACAGACAUUCAGAUGAUGUGUAUUGUUGAUUGUGAUUUCAUGUUUGGACCUGAUGAAGGAGUUUGAAGUCUCCAGAGCAGCAAAGAGAGUGGGGAGUAGAACUCAUCAUCUUUAGGUCACUCAUCAUCG